rnacentral:rRNA from 1 species
AACAUCGCCUUUAGCACAAAGUAUUAAAGGUAACGCCUGCCCAGUGAUAUAUUAAACGGCCGCGGGAUCCUCCACCGUGCAAAGGUAGCAUAAUCACUUGUCCCCUAAAUAGUGACUAGUAUGAACGGCCAAAUGAAGAUUUUACUGUCUCUUAUAGCCAAUCUAUGAAACUAAGCUACCAGUACAAAAACUGGUAUAUUAACAUAAGACGAAAAGACCCUGUGGAACUUCAAGCACAACCCACUAUAUGGACUCCCUGCUUUUAGUUGGGGCAACUUUGGAAAAAAACAAAACUUCCAACCAGAAUAUAGAUUUACACAUCUACAUGGUAUAACACGACCCAACACAUGUUGAUUAAAGAACCAAGCUACCCCAGGGAUAACAGCGCCAUCCCCUCUUAGAGCCCUAAUCGACGAGUGGGGUUUACGACCUCGAUGUUGGAUCAGGGCCCCCAAACAGUGCAACAGCUGUUAACGGUUUGUUUGUUCAACAAUUAAAGCCCUACGUGAUCUGAGUUAAGACCGGAGCAAUCCAG